rnacentral:rRNA from 1 species
UAGAGUUUUGGNNCUGGCUCAGGACGAACGCUGGCGGCGUGCCUAAUACAUGCAAGUCGAACGAACUCUGGUAUUGAUUGGUGCUUGCAUCAUGAUUUACAUUUGAGUGAGUGGCGAACUGGUGAGUAACACGUGGGAAACCUGCCCAGAAGCGGGGGAUAACACCUGGAAACAGAUGCUAAUACCGCAUAACAACUUGGACCGCAUGGUCCGAGCUUGAAAGAUGGCUUCGGCUAUCACUUUUGGAUGGUCCCGCGGCGUAUUAGCUAGAUGGUGGGGUAACGGCUCACCAUGGCAAUGAUACGUAGCCGACCUGAGAGGGUAAUCGGCCACAUUGGGACUGAGACACGGCCCAAACUCCUACGGGAGGCAGCAGUAGGGAAUCUUCCACAAUGGACGAAAGUCUGAUGGAGCAACGCCGCGUGAGUGAAGAAGGGUUUCGGCUCGUAAAACUCUGUUGUUAAAGAAGAACAUAUCUGAGAGUAACUGUUCAGGUAUGACGGUNUAAC